rnacentral:lncRNA from 1 species
AGUGGGAAGGGAGGGAAAGAGUGGGAAGGGAGGGAGAGAGGGAGGGAAAGAGUGGGAAGGGAGGGAGAGCGAGCGAGGGGACGUAGGGAAGGGAGAGUGAGAAAGAGAGAGGUUGGGCAGGGAGUGAGAGAGGGAGGGAAAGAGUGGGAAGGGAGGGAGAGAGGGAGGGAAAGAGUGGGAAGGGAGGGAGAGAGGGGAGGGUGAAUAGAAAUGUGAAACAGGGAAGAAAUGCGAGUAGAGAGAGAGUGAUCUCAACCACUUCUCAGAUAGACAGAGGUGACAGCUCUCUUCUGAGCUCUGACGGCUGUCACAGAAGUGGGUUGACGUGACGGCGUGUGUGUGUAUUUAUCUCCUUGUCUGCCUGUCUGUCUGCUUGUCUGUCUGUCUGUCUCUCGUCUGUCUUUCAAAGGGACCUGCAUGUGUAGAAAUGCUACGAUCACACGCCAUCACACACAGCAUGAAUAUAACGUGGAGGGGAUAGAUGUCAAACCUUCAGUCUCCUGUCUCUCCUGUCUUGUAGUCAGUCUCCUGUCUUGUAGUCAGUCUCCCGUCUCUCCUGUCUUGUAGUCAGUCUCCUGUCUCUCCUGUCUUGUAGUCAGUCUCCCGUCUUGUAGUCAGUCUCCCGUCUUGUAGUCAGUCUCCUGUCUCUCUCCUGUCUUGUAGUCAGUCUCCUGUCUCUCUCCUGUCUUGUAGUCAGUCUCCUGUCUCUCUCCUGUCUUGUAGUCAGUCUCCUGUCUUGUAGUCAGUUUCCUGUCUCUCUCCUGUCCUGUAGUCAGUCUCCUGUCUCUCUCCUGUCUUGUAGUCAGUCUCCUGUCUCUCUCCUGUCUUGUAGUCAGUCUCCUGUCUUUCUCCCGUCUUGUAGUCAGUCUCCUGUCUCUCUCCUGUCUUGUAGUCAGUCUCCUGUCUCUCUCCUGUCUUGUAGUCAGUCUCCCGUCUCUCCUGUCUUGUAGUCAGUCUCCUGUCUCUCCUGUCUUGUAGUCAGUCUCCUGUCUCUCCUGUCUUGUAGUCAGUCUCCUGUCUCUCUCCUGUCUUGUAGUCAGUCUCCCGUCUCUCCUGUCUUGUAGUCAGUCUCCUGUCUUGUAGUCAGUCUCCUGUCUCUCCUGUCUUGUAGUCAGUCUCCCGUCUUGUAGUCAGUCUCCCGUCUUGUAGUCAGUCUCCCGUCUUGUAGUCAGUCUCCCGUCUUGUAGUCAGUCUCCUGUCUCUCUCCUGUCUUGUAGUCAGUCUCCUGUCUCUCUCCUGUCUUGUAGUCAGUCUCCUGUCUCUCCUGUCUUGUAGUCAGUCUCCUGUCUUGUAGUCAGUUUCCUGUCUCUCUCCUGUCCUGUAGUCAGUCUCCUGUCUCUCUCCUGUCUUGUAGUCAGUCUCCUGUCUCUCUCCUGUCUUGUAGUCAGUCUCCUGUCUUGUAGUCAGUCUCCUGUCUUGUAGUCAGUCUCCUGUCUCUCCUGUCUUGUAGUCAGUCUCCUGUCUCUCCUGUCUUGUAGUCAGUCUCCUGUCUUGUAGUCAGUCUCCUGUCUUGUAGUCAGUCUCCUGUCUUGUAGUCAGUCUCCUGUCUCUCUCCUGUCUUGUAGUCAGUCUCCCGUCUCUCUCCUGUCUUGUAGUCAGUCUCCUGUCUCUCUCCUGUCUUGUAGUCAGUCUCCCGUCUCUCCUGUCUUGUAGUCAGUCUCCUGUCUCUCUCCUGUCUUGUAGUCAGUCUCCUGUCUCUCCUGUCUUGUAGUCAGUCUCCUGUCUCUCUCCUGUCUUGUAGUCAGUCUCCCGUCUCUCCUGUCUUGUAGUCAGUCUCCUGUCUUGUAGUCAGUCUCCUGUCUUGUAGUCAGUCUCCUGUCUCUCUCCUGUCUUGUAGUCAGUCUCCCGUCUCUCCUGUCUUGUAGUCAGUCUCCCGUCUCUCCUGUCUUGUAGUCAGUCUCCUGUCUUGUAGUCAGUCUCCUGUCUUGUAGUCAGUCUCCUGUCUCUCCUGUCUUGUAGUCAGUCUCCCGUCUCUCCUGUCUUGUAGUCAGUCUCCUGUCUUGUAGUCAGUCUCCUGUCUUGUAGUCAGUCUCCCGUCUCUCCUGUCUUGUAGUCAGUCUCCUGUCUCUCCUGUCUUGUAGUCAGUCUCCUGUCUCUCCUGUCUUGUAGUCAGUCUCCUGUCUCUCCUG